rnacentral:tRNA from 1 species
UCCCUGGUGGCCUAGUGGUUAGGACUCAGGGUUUUCAUUUCUGUAGCCCAGGUUCAAUCCCUGGUCUGGGAA